GACACCCGCCGCACUUCCGGCCUUUGUGGACCGCAGCGACGGCGUUCUGCGGCUGGUCGGUGCUGUUUGUUGCUGUCACUGCUGUUUGUUCCUGCCAGCGGCUAGGGUCUGGCUCUUUUGCCCAGGAUGGAGUGCAGUGGCGUGAUGGUCUCAGCUGACAGCAGCCUCGACCUCCUGGGCUCAAGCCUUGGCCUCCCAAAGUGCUGGGAUUACAGGUAUAAGCCACCAUGCCCGGCCCUCCCUUUCUUUUGUGUCUUUGGAUUUGUCUUUGUGGAGAGGCGACCAGCCACCAUCCUAUGAGGAAGCCCAGACCACAUGAAGAGACCACCUGCACAUGUUCGGAUUCACUGCCCCAGCUAAAAUCUCAGCUGACAGCCAGACCAAUCACCAAUCUUAGGAGCUGGCGAGCCUUCAGAUGGUCCAACCUUUGAGGCCCCACCAGAGGAGCCAGGUGGAGCAUAGAUAAGCCAUCCAUGUGGAUCCCUUCACCAAAUGGAAGAUUUAGGAGCAAAAUAAACAAUGUUGUCAUUGCUUUUACCCAUGAAA